rnacentral:rRNA from 1 species
UACAGAGGUCCCAAGCGUUGUUCGGAUUCACUGGGCGUAAAGGGUGCGUAGGCGGCCGGGUAAGUCUGAUGUGAAAUCUCCGAGCCUAACUCGGAAACUGCAUCGGAUACUAUCCGGCUCGAGGGUUGGAGGGGGGACUGGAAUACUUGGUGUAGCAGUGAAAUGCGUAGAUAUCAAGUGGAACACCAGUGGCGAAGGCGAGUCCCUGGACAACUCCUGACACUGAGGCACGAAAGCGUGGGGAGCAAACAGG